rnacentral:rRNA from 1 species
AGUGAACGCUGGCGGUAGGCCUAACACAUGCAAGUCGAACGGCAGCACAGUAAGAGCUUGCUCUUACGGGUGGCGAGUGGCGGACGGGUGAGGAAUACAUCGGAAUCUACUUUUUCGUGGGGGAUAACGUAGGGAAACUUACGCUAAUACCGCAUACGACCUACGGGUGAAAGCAGGGGAUCUUCGGACCUUGCGCGAUUGAAUGAGCCGAUGUCGGAUUAGCUAGUUGGCGGGGUAACGGCCCACCAAGGCGACGAUCCGUAGCUGGUCUGAGAGGAUGAUCAGCCACACUGGAACUGAGACACGGUCCAGACGCCUACGGGAGGCAGCAGUGGGGAAUAUGGGACAAUGGGCGCAAGCCUGAUCCAGCAAUACCGCGUGGGUGAAGAAGGCCUUCGGGUUGUAAAGCCCUUUUGUUGGGAAAGAAAAGCAGCAGGUUAAUACCCCGCUGUUCUGACGGUACCAAAAGAAUAAGCACCGGCUAACUUCGU